rnacentral:rRNA from 1 species
UACGGAGGGUGCAAGCGUUAUCCGGAUUUACUGGGUUUAAAGGGUGCGCAGGCGGAUAUGUAAGUCAGUGGUGAAAUCUCUAGGCUUAACCUGGAAAUUGCCGUUGAUACUAUAUAUCUUGAAUGCUGUGGAGGUAAGCGGAAUAUGUCAUGUAGCGGUGAAAUGCUUAGAUAUGACAUAGAACACCAAUUGCGAAGGCAGCUCACUACACAAUCAUUGACUCUGAGGCACGAAAGCGUGGGGAUCAAACAGG